rnacentral:rRNA from 4 species
GGGCGUCUCUAUCUCAUUGCGAGAGGAGGCGCACCUAUAGCGUACACGCUGAUACCCGAAAGAUGGUGAACUAUGCCUGGCCAGGACGAAGCCAGGGGAAACCCUGGUGGAGGUCCGCAGCGAUUCUGACGUGCAAAUCGAUCGUCGGAGCUGGGUUUAGGGGCGAAAGACCAAUCGAACCAUCUAGUAGCUGGUUCCCUCUGAAGUUUCCCUCAGGAUAGCUUGCGCUCGGACGAGACGAGUCUCAUCCGGUAGAGCGAAUGAUUAGAGGCCUUGGGGUCGAAACGACCUCAACCUAUUCUCAAACUCCAAAUAGAUGAGAACCCUGGCUUUCUUAAACUAUGAAGCCAAGGGGUUUCGGAUCAGAGUGCCAAGUGGGCCAAUUUU